rnacentral:tRNA from 1 species
GAGGGUAUAGCUCAGUGGUGGAGCAUAUGCUUGGCAUGCAUGAGGUCCUGGGUUCAAUCUCCAGUACUUCCA